AUUAUCAUGAUGAAAAUUCUAUACUGAAAACAUCUUUGCUGAUCACCAAAAGAAAAACCAAAAGGAUUCUGAAAACAAU